CCUACGGGAGGCAGCAGUAAGGAAUAUUGGUCAAUGGACGAAAGUCUGAACCAGCCAUGCCGCGUGGAGGAUGAAGGUCCUCUGGAUUGUAAACUUCUUUUAUAUGGGGCGAAAAAAGGGUUUUCUAACUCGACUGACGGUACCAUAUGAAUAAGCACCGGCUAACUCCGUGCCAGCAGCCGCGGUAAUACGGAGGGUGCAAGCGUUAUCCGGAUUCACUGGGUUUAAAGGGAGCGUAGGUGGGUUGAUAAGUCAGUGGUGAAAUCUCCGAGCUUAACUCGGAAACUGCCAUUGAUACUAUCAGUCUUGAAUAUUGUGGAGGCUAGCGGAAUAUGUCAUGUAGCGGUGAAAUGCUUAGAUAUGACAUAGAACACCAAUUGCGAAGGCAGCUGGCUAUACAUAUAUUGACACUGAGGCUCGAAAGCGUGGGGAUCAAACAGGAUUAGAUACCCUGGUAGUCCACGCCCUAAACUAUGGAUACUCGACAUACGCGAUACACUGUGUGUGUCUGAGCGAAAGCAUUAAGUUCCCACCUGGAA
rnacentral:rRNA from 1 species